UUUGGUCGUAGACCCGAAACCAGGUGAUCUACCCUUGGUCAGGUUGAAGUUCAGGUAACACUGAAUGGAGGACCGAACCGACUUACGUUGAAAAGUGAGCGGAUGAACUGAGGGUAGCGGAGAAAUUCCAAUCGAACCUGGAGAUAGCUGGUUCUCUCCGAAAUAGCUUUAGGGCUAGCCUCAAGUGAUGAUUAUUGGAGGUAGAGCACUGUUUGGACGAGGGGCCCCUCUCGGGUUACCGAAUUCAGACAAACUCCGAAUGCCAAUUAAUUUAACUUGGGAGUCAGAACAUGGGUGAUAAGGUCCGUGUUCGAAAGGGAAACAGCCCAGACCACCAGCUAAGGUCCCAAAAUAUAUGUUAAGUGGAAAAGGAUGUGGCGUUGCCCAGACAACUAGGAUGUUGGCUUAGAAGCAGCCAUCAUUUAAAGAGUGCGUAAUAGCUCACUAGUCGAGUGACACUGCGCCGAAAAUGUACCGGGGCUAAACAUAUUACCGAAGCUGUGGAUUGUCCUUUGGACAAUGGUAGGAGAGCGUUCUAAGGGCGUUGAAGCAUGAUCGUAAGGACAUGUGGAGCGCUUAGAAGUGAGAAUGCCGGUGUGAGUAGCGAAAGACGGGUGAGAAUCCCGUCCACCGAUUGACUAAGGUUUCCAGAGGAAGGCUCGUCCGCUCUGGGUUAGUCGGGUCCUAAGCUGAGGCCGACAGGCGUAGGCGAUGGAUAACAGGUUGAUAUUCCUGUACCACCUAUAAUCGUUUUAAUCGAUGGGGGGACGCAGUAGGAUAGGCGAAGCGUGCGAUUGGAUUGCACGUCUAAGCAGUAAGGCUGAGUAUUAGGCAAAUCCGGUACUCGUUAAGGCUGAGCUGUGAU
rnacentral:rRNA from 1 species